CAAUAGCGUAUAUUAAAGUUGUUGCAGUUAAAAAGCUCGUAGUUGGAUUUCUGGCGGGAUGAUCACGCCCUCUGCUGAGUGUGCAUGACCGUCUCACCAUCCUUCUGUUAACCUUGGAGGUCUUAACGGUUUCCUUGGGGCUCAGAUAUUUUACCUUGAGAAAAUUAGAGUGUUUCAGGCAGGCUAGCGCCGGAAUACAUUAGCAUGGAAUAAUGGAAUAGGACUUUUGUCCUCUUCUGUUGGUCUGAGGGGUUCGGAGUAAUGAUUAAGAGGAACAGUUGGGGGCGAUUCGUAUUUCUAUUGUCAGAGGUGAAAUUACUUGGAUUUAUUGAAAGAACGAACUUCUGCGAAAGACAUUUGUCCAAGGAAUGUUUUCUAUUAAUUACAAGAAACGAAAGUUAGGGGGCGUCGAAGACGAUUAGAUACCAU
rnacentral:rRNA from 1 species